GCCAUUCUCACUCCCCGCCGUGCGCACCUGAUCCUCGGGAGGGCAACGGGGUGGGGGUGGGGUGUCCCACAGUCCCAGGGCAAUGGUGGCCCGCGCUGAGUGGGUGACGGGGCUCCAAACCCGCAAUGACCAGAUGUGAGGGUCCAGUGGAUGGACCAUGGGGAUGGAAACACAGAGGAUGCUCAGGGUCUGGUAGUCACGGUCUGAGGGGGAACAAAGACCCUUCCCUUCCCCCACAGCUAGAUGCACAUGGGCGUGGGGACUCCGGUACAACACCAACCCACAAGGUUAGCAGGUAACUCUCUGGGAUAGGGACUGCGCCCAGGCAUGGAGGGUGGGGUAGCGGGUGGUUUCUCUGACUCCCUUCCUCCACACGCCCAGCCCUUACCAUUCCUCCACUUAUGGGCCUUAUCCCAGACCUGGGGCGUCCAGCGCAGCCUCAAACCCAGGGCAUCUCUGCACUCUCAUCGCGACGUCGCUCUGGAUGCUGUUUGCAUAUCCUUGGGGAGUCACUGCUUUGGCACAACAGUCCUGCGAGGUGGUAAGAACCCAUUUUAAAGACGAGAAAAAGGAGGUCCAGAGAGGUUUAGCGGCCUGUCCAAGGUCACUCAGCCAAAGAUUUUUGAGUUUGACACGACGGACUCUGAAGCCCACAUGGCAUCUCUAAAACGGUGUGGGGGUGACCCUAGAACUCACUAGCUCGGUUUCUCAACCCUCCUGGGCUCUGAGACACUACUCUCUGCAGAAGCUGGGGGUUUGAGAGGGAAAGGUCUAGACCUCUUUCAUCUAGGACGCGAACGAGAUUAUUUCUUGGACAGAGGGAUUCCGGGGACCCCUGCCUCCCCACUCUCGUCCCAGUCUCCCGAGCACAGGCCUCCAGGCGUCGGGGAUCGCUGGCGCUCACACCCCACUGCGGAGAGGAGUCGCGCCAGGAAAACGCCCCCACCUGCUGCAGGGAGGGGCUAAGGGAUCGAGGGCAGAGAGAGAACUUGCUGGAAGCUGGAAGCCGGUUUGUUUUUCUCGGCGCCAGCGUUGCGCUGAGCUGGGCGCAGCCUUGCUGCCUCCCCAGAGCGCUCUUUCCAGGAGGCGUCUCCGGGUGUGGAGUGCGACGGGCAAGGAUGAGUAACCCCACACUCCCGGGGCUCCCCUCAAGUGAGCCAAUGUCCCGCCACGUGGCCCCGCGCUGCGUCAGCACAUCUAGGGCGGGGCUGCACA
rnacentral:lncRNA from 1 species